AUCUAAAUAGUUUAAAUAAAAUAUUGAUUUGUGAUAUCAAAGUUAUAGUUUUUAUUUUAGAUU
rnacentral:tRNA from 1 species